GACGAACGCUGGCGGCGCGCCUAACACAUGCAAGUCGAACGGAGCUUAGAGAGCUUGCUUUUUAAGCUUAGUGGCGAACGGGUGAGUAACGCGUGAGUAACCUGCCCUAGAGUGGGGGACAACAGUUGGAAACGACUGCUAAUACCGCAUAAGCCCACGGUACCGCAUGGUACUGAGGGAAAAAGAUUUAUUCGCUUUAGGAUGGACUCGCGUCCAAUUAGCUAGUUGGUGAGGUAACGGCCCACCAAGGCGACGAUUGGUAGCCGGACUGAGAGGUUGAACGGCCACAUUGGGACUGAGACACGGCCCAGACUCCUACGGGAGGCAGCAGUGGGGGAUAUUGCACAAUGGGGGAAACCCUGAUGCAGCGACGCCGCGUGGAGGAAGAAGGUUUUCGGAUUGUAAACUCCUGUCGUUAGGGACGAUAAUGACGGUAC
rnacentral:rRNA from 1 species